AUUGAACGCUGGCGGCAUGCCUUACACAUGCAAGUCGAACGGCAGCACGGGAGCAAUCCUGGUGGCGAGUGGCGAACGGGUGAGUAAUAUAUCGGAACGUGCCCAGUCUGGGGGAUAACGUAGCGAAAGCUACGCUAAUACCGCAUACUAUCUAUGGAUGAAANCGGGGGAUCGCAAGACCUCGCGCGAUUGGAGCGGCCGAUAUCAGAUUAGGUAGUUGGUGAGGUAAAGGCUCACCAAGCCGACGAUCUGUAGCUGGUCUGAGAGGACGACCAGCCACACUGGGACUGAGACACGGCCCAGACUCCUACGGGAGGCAGCAGUGGGAAUUUUGGACAAU
rnacentral:rRNA from 1 species